UGGCUGCAUGUUGUGUCCCAAGCAGAGCUCCAUAUGAGCCCGGGAGCAGACUGUAGGCCCCAGAAGCCAUUGUACCCUAGGGAACAGUAUACCUCUAGUGAAAGUCAGGGACAGGGCCUCGUGAACGAGGAUAAGUAAUCACAGCAGAAUAUUUAAUAGCACCCUGUUAAAGAUACCACACUUUUAAUGCUAAAUAACAUUUAAUGUCACAAAUGAUAAAGUUCAUUGCUUGUGUGCAAACAUCAAAUUCCCCUUCAUAUCUCUGCCUUUGAUCUAUUUUUGCUCAAGUUACAGCUUCUGCUUGUGGUUAAAAGACAUGCGCUAUGCUACAAGGUACAAGGAAACGAAACAAGACAAGGCUAAGAUCGCACCUGCCCCCCCCAGCGUUGUGUCGACAUCAACAGGAAAAGCAGAAGAACAGAUGGAUGGCCAGAGAAGGCCAGAAGGGCAACUGCCUAAAACGGACAAAAACAAGGACAGUUGGACUAUAUAAAGGGCUGGGGUGGGGCACGAGCUUACUUCUCUUGCAGACUGAGCAGGGUGUUAGACACCAGUCUCAUGUAAGUUUGCCUGAGAACUCUGCAUGCGAAUAAAUCUUCCUCUUCUGAUCAACUAUAAGUUUCCUCUGGUGCUUCGAAUACAGGAGUGAUCCACAUAGCAUUCAAAUUUUGGUCCUUCGAGCCGGAGACACUGGUCACCGACGCCCGGGCAGCCGGCCCGAACGAGCGUCCACAUUGACAACACGGACGCGAAAGACCUCCGGUCCUCCACGGAGAGACUGUUAAGAGAGGCCGUUUGGGGCGACUCCCUGGCGCUGGGACAGCUGUCUCCACCGAACCACAAACAGAGGAAAUCGAUCAGGAGAAUAAGACCGACCUACCCACUGCUGUGCAUUGACCCUUGAACCUAUCUCCGUGACCUACACCUGUAAAGUUUACAGCUUCUGCUUGUGGUUAAAAGACAUCCGCUAUGCUACAAGGUACAAGGAAACGAAACAAGACAAGGCUAAGAUCGCACCUGCCCCCCCCCCAGCGUUGUGUCGACAUCAACAGGAAAAGCAGAAGAACAGAUGGAUGGCCAGAAAAGGCCAGAAGGGCAACUGCCUAAAACGGACAAAAACAAGGACAGUUGGACUAUAUAAAGGGCUGGGGUGGGGCACGAGCUUACUUCUCUUGCAGACUGAGCAGGGUGUUAGACACCAGUCUCAUGUAAGUUUGCCUGAGAACUCUGCAUGCGAAUAAAUCUUCCUCUUCUGAUCAA